rnacentral:rRNA from 1 species
GACGAACGCUGGCGGCGUGCUUAACACAUGCAAGUCGAGCGGUAAGGCCCUUUCGGGGUACGACGAGCGGCGAACGGGUAGGAGUAACAACGUGGGUGGACCUCGCCCUCCAGCUCCUGGGAGUAAAGACCUCGGGAAACCGGGGUACCGUAAUAACUGGAGUAUGACUCCAUGACGCAUGUUGUGGGGUGGGAAAGACCUUG